UUUCCAUUUUUCUACUUACAUUCUCUCUAGUUAAUUCAUCUUCUUCAUUUGAUUUUAUACUAAUUUUGCCGUUUAUUUUUCCUACGAUUUUGAUAAUUGUUGUUGAUCAUCAAUGGCUGAUUCUUCCUCUGCUAAUUUCGAUCGUGAUUACGAAAGUGUGUUUCCGUCUUCUAGAGUUCGAUUGAUUGAUUCGUUUGUUCAUCAACAAUUCGAAGGAUUUAAAUAUUCCUAUAAAUAAAAGUGUUGCUGGUGUUUCUGCUGCUCAAGCUCAAUGUAAUGUUCCUAUAAAUAAAGGUGGUGCUGGUGUUAAAAAUGAUGCUCAAGUUAAUCCAAGAGUACUAAUGCGUCUACAAAAUCUCAAACUAGAUAUUUUGUUCCACCCGUAGUUCUUGGCAUUGUUCCAACUUCAACUCAGGAUUGUUCAAACUUCAAUCUAGAAAUGUUUAAACCCCAUUCCAGAAAUGUUCAAUCGACAAAUGUUUAAGUUAUUCCUCCCACGGUUCCAAUAAAUGAUCAAGGUGCUCUUGUUCAAAGUUCUUCAAGUGUUAAAGACAUAAGAAUUUGUUUCUA